rnacentral:rRNA from 1 species
AAAGAUUAAGCCAUGCAUGUCUAAGUACAUGUGUAAUUUAACACGAAACCGCGUAUGGCUCAUUAUAACAGCUAAAAUUUACUUGAUUUUGACUUUUAUCCUACAUGGAUAACUGUGGUAAUUCUGGAGCUAAUACAUGCAUAAAAGAUAAAACAUUUAUUCGUUUUAUUGCGUAUAUUAGUAUUAAAACCAAGCAUUCUUCGGAAUGUUUUGUGUAGAAACUAAAUAUAUCAUGCUGAUCGUAUGGUCUUGUACCGACGACAUGUCAUUCAAGUGUCUGAUCUAUCAACUUUCUAUAUAAGUAUAUAGUACUUAUAUGGUUUUGACGGAUAACGGGGUAUUAGGGUACGACUCCGGAGAAAAUGCCUGAGAAACGGCGUUUACAUCCAAGGAAGGCAGCAGGCGCGAAAAUUACCCACUCUCAGUACGAGGAGGUAGUGACGAGAAAUGACAAGAUCUAUUCCUUCGGGGAUGGAUCAUUGGAAUGGUUUGAUUUUGAAAUCAUUAAAGAGUAUCAAUGAGAGGGCAAGUCUGGUGCCAGCAGCCGCGGUAACUCCAGCUCUCAUACUGCAUUGAAUUGUUGUUGCGGUUAAAAAGCUCGCAGUUGGAUCUGUACAUGAUAGGUUAGUUCAUCCUUUGGAUUGUAACUAAUACUAAAUGUUUUUUAUUAGAUUUUUUAUUUUUUUACGAAAAUAAAUGUCUAAUGAGUUUACUUUGAAUAAAUCAGAGUGCUCAAAACAGGCGUAAGCUUGUAUGGUUUUGCAUGGAAUAAUAGAACAUGACUAUGGUUCAUGUUUUAUUGGUUUUACUUACCAUAGUAAUGAUUAAAAGGAACAAACGGGGGCAUCCGUAUCGCAGGGCGAGAGGUGAAAUUCGUGGACCCUUGCGAGACGAACUACAGCGAAAGCAUUUGCCAAGAAUG